GUGUUAUAUAAAAGAGAAGGUUAGCACUCCCCUCAUUAAGGAUGGAAGAGAGGUUGGUAACCUUUACCAUACAUACCGUGGUUAAGGGUUGCCGCUGACUCAGUGGCAUCUAACCAAGUUUUCUU
ensembl:snRNA